rnacentral:hammerhead_ribozyme from 1 species
AUCCAGCCUACGAGUCCCAAAUAGGACGAAACGCGCAUCCUGAAU